GACGAAGGAUCCAAGCGUUAUCCGGAUUCAUUGGGUUUAAAGGGUGCGCAGGCGGCCGAGUGUGUGAGGCGUGAAAGCCCGGGGCUUAACCCGGAUUGCACCUCAAACUACACGGCUAGAGCAUUGGAGAGGGUAGCAGAAUUCAUGGUGUAGCAGUGAAAUGCGUAGAUAUCAUGAGGAAUACCAGAGGCGAAGGCGGCUACCUGGACAAUUGCUGACGCUCAGGCACGAAAGCGUGGGGAGCAAAAGGGAUUAGAAACCCCUGUAGU
rnacentral:rRNA from 1 species